CGUGUUUUUGCAAUUUGCAAAGCAGAAAUUACAAACCCGCAAGUGAAAAUAUUUUUUUAUUUUUAAUUUGUGUUAAAUAUUUAAUUUCGUGUCAAGUUUAUUCUUAAUCAAAAAAAUAAGAAGGACACCAAUAAAACUUCGCUUUUUUAUUAAUGCCGCGAAAAACUAAUUGUUGAAAAGAGCUUAUAAUAGAAAAUAUUACAUAAACUAAAUAAAACCGUACUUCAAAGGGCACUUUUUACCUUCUUCUCUUUAUUAAGGACAACUACAUUUUUCAAUUGGAAUACAAUAAAAUGAACUUGGAAAUCGUAAUAUUGCUCCCGUUCACUAUUUCAUUACCACAGGGAUGCAGAGGAAUCACUUUCUUCAGAUAUCAAAAAAAAAGAAACUCUCUUGGCCAAGCAAGGAGAAAGCGUAUACAGUCUUAUACAUAUAAAUCACCAAAGGGAUGCUCAAAUGUAGUCACCAUACAUUCAAUUGUAUAUUUUCGAUGAAAAAUAUGCUCAGUAGAAAAAAUUUGCUUCAUCUAUCGAGAUACUACAAAAAGCAUGGCAAACCACGGCAACUUGAGCCAGAUUACGCUUUAUCAAUGGGAAGGAUUGAAAGUUCAACCAAUGUGAUAACCUUUGUUUACCCAAUGGACAUAAAUCUCUCGUUUUACACAAAUACUGCUCUUCCAUGGUUUGCUGCACCUCUCGUCAUUUUCACGAAUCAGCGCUUCAUCUUGUGGACGAUUAUACACGACGAAGCCGCGAUUGUCUGCGAGUGAUAAAUGAGAAGUGACACCAAGCGUGCGUUAGAAGUGGGUCUGAAGUUGAAAAGAAAGUCAACAAUUAAAUUAUUGAAUGUAUUUAAUUCUUGUUUAAUGUACCAAAAACUAUCAAUAAAGUAAAGAUUUCAUAAUUUAUAAGUUUUAA